GUUGGUAUCUUAACUCUCUCAACACUUUAAAUAUUUCAUUCCAUUCUCUUCUUGCUUGCAUGGUGUCUAAGGAGAUGUCAGAUAUAAUUCUCAUCUUUGUCCCUUCAUAGGUAAGGUAUUUUUGUCUUCAUACUUCUUCUGAAAUGUUUUCCUUAUCUUUGAUUUUCUGCAGUUUAAAAAUGUCAUGUCUAGGUGUAAUAAUAGUAUAGGUGUUUUUUAUUUUAUUUUUUAUUUUUGCAUUUAUCCAGUUUAACGUUCUCUGUGUUUCCUGGGUUUGUGGUUUGGUAUCUGAUAUUAAUUUGGAGAAAUUCCAAAUUAUUAUUGUUUUAAAUAUUUCUUCUUCUUUUCGUUUCUUGCUUCUCCUUCCAACAUUCCCAUUAUAUGUAUUUACACAUUUUGUAUUUGUGCCACAAUCCUUAAAUAUUCUGGUUUUUUUUUUUUUUUUUCAGUUUUUGUUAUACUCACUUUUCAGUUUUGGAAGUUUCUACUGAGAUAUGCUCAAGAUCAUAGAUUUUUUCCUCAGCUGUGUCCAGUCUACUAAUAAGCUCCUUGAAUGCAUUCUUCAUUUCUGUCACAGUGGUUCUGAUCUCUAGUGUUUCUUUUUGGUUCUUUCAUAGGAUUUCCAUAUAUCUGCUUACACUGUUCAUCUGUUCUUGAAUGCUGUCCAGUAUCUAUUAGAGCCCUGAGCAUAUUAAUCAUAGUUGUUUUAUAUUCCUUGUCUGAUAAGUCCAACAUUUCUGCCAUAUCUGUUUCUGAUGCUUACUCUGUCUCUCCAAAUUGUAUUUUUGCCUCUUGGUAUGUCUUGUGAUUUUUUCUUAACAGCCGGACAUAAUGUACCUGGUAAGAGGAACUGCUAUAAAUAGGCCUUUAGCAAUGUGGUAGUGAGGUGUGUGGGGAGGAGAAAUUUACUCUAUAGUCCUAUCAUUACAUUUCAGUCUUUUAAUGGGCUAAUGCUACUGAACUGUGAAUGUCACAAGUCUUUCUAGGUUUUUUUCUUCCCCCUUAGGUGGAACAGGUUGGCUGACAUGAGCUGGAAUUGGAUAUUUCCCUUCCCUCAAUCAGUUCUGCUCUGAUAAAAUCCCAGCAGAUCAGGAUCUGGUGAAAUCAUAUCUCUUGAGGUAAAGCUUGUUAAGAAGAACAGAGUACUCUGGUGAAUUGCAAAAUGGUUCCUUUUCCCUUUCCCUUACUGGAAGCAUGAAGGAACUUUUCUCUCAUAUUUACUGUGGGAACCUGGUGGAGUUCCUGGAGGUAAAUCUCACAGUAUUGUGGCAGUCUCCCUAUGAUUGGGUCUCCCGGAGUUUUUAACUCUCAGACUUGUCCACACUGAGCCGCUAGCAAUUCAUCAAUAACAGCUCAGGUUUUCCUACCCUGGCACUGGUUCCCCUAGCAGUGUCUCCUCAUGAGUCACUGCUCAGUGAAGCCAAGACUCCCUGUAUUUGUCUAUCUGUCUCUCCAAUCUUGGGGCUAAUGGUUUGCCCUAUGUCCUUAUCUUUAUUACAGAUUCAAGAAGAGUUGUUGCUUUCUCAGUCUGUUCAGCUUUUUACUUGUUUGAAAGAAUGUUGACUUUAACCCUUUUGCCAUUUAGAAAAAAGAAGUGCAGCUCACUGCCAGUGCUCAUUUAAUUUUACAUAAACAUGCUCUUUGAGGCUGAAGCAAAUAUGACUGAUUUUCAACAUGAAAAUGAAAUAUAAAAACUGGUAUUGGCAUUAUUUCUAAACAGAACUAACAUCAGAAUAGUCUGAAUCAUCAGAAUCAUCUGUUUCGGAAACAUCGUAUUCAUCCAAUGAAUCUUCAGCCAACAACUGUUCGAGAAUGAUGUUAACAUCAUGUGUAGGAAAGCUACCAUUUCUAGGAUUUCACAUUUUUAGCUAUCAAGAAUUACUAUAUUUUGUAAAUGGAAAUACCACCACUAAAACUAGAAUGCCAUAAAUAGAAUGAUGUCUUUUGUUUCCAAAGUUGAUAUACUAGAGUGAUACAAAAAUAAUAAUAAAUGCAAGAUAUUUUGUGGCAAAGUUAUUUUGGGGUAAAUGCCGCAACCAAAAGCACUGCCAGCAAGUAUUCUCAGGGCAAAUGGGAGAAGGGUUUUAAGCUUAUUUAAAUAUGAAACUGGAACACAGAAGUCCCCACAGGUAUUGCUUUAAGCUGCUAUGUUUGUGGUAAUUUGUUGUAGUAGCAAUAGGAAACUAAUAUAGCCAGCAUGAAAUCACUUCAAGGCAGAGUGUAAGAAAAUUUCCUAAGUCAAUGUGAUGUCACUUCAGGAGAGACUAUGGGCAUGAAUCUGAAGGCAUAUUGAGCUGAAACAGCUACGUCAUUUUUUAACUGUGAGGGGAGAAUCUGAGAAUCUGAGAAGAUGAGAAUGGAGCCAAGAUAGCAUAAAGUGGAUCCAAGAAAUGGAGAGAAAGAAAGUGGCAAAGCUCAUGAUUUCUCUUCUUUACUGAGUACAUAGAAACUGCUAUACACACUUUGUCAGGAAUAUUGAGUGACAUAGAUGAGCACAUUAAUGGAGAGGGAGAGGUAACACGAGAAACGGCAGCCUCCAAGGUCUUCCAUCACUCUGCAAAUUCUUACCACACAUGGCUCUGCGUAUCCCCUGACCUGACUCACUCCUCCCUAAUCUCUAAAUUCCUCCACUGUAUCUACUGGAUAUCAUAAUCUAAAGUCAGCAAAAUCUCCUAUUUUAUCAAGCCCUUUUGUAAACAUUUCUCUCUCUCUCUUUUUUUUUUUUUCACUAACUAGAUUCUCUCUGGGACACUCAAGUGUGGCUUACCCCUCUUUUAUACCAUACUUCACUAGGCCUGGAGUUAUUCUGGUAAGCAGAAUAACUCCUCCCCUUGUCCCCAAAGAUGUCCACAUUUAAACCUUAGAAUCUGUGAAUAUGUCCCCUUACAUGGCAAAAUGGACUUUGUAGAUGUGAUUAAGUUAAGGAACUUGAAAUGGGAAGAUUAUUUUGAGUUACCUAGGUAAGUCCAUUAUAAUCAUUUUGGAUUCUUAUAAGAGGGAGGCAGAAGUGUUGGAGUCAGGGAGAGAUUUGAAGAUGCUAACUGCUAGCUUUGAAGAUGGAAGAGGUCAGGAGCCAAGAAAUGCAAGCAGCCUCUACGAAGCUGGAAAAUGCGAGGAAACAGAUUUUUUUCCCUGAAGCCUCCAGAAGGAAUGCAGCCCUGCUGACACCUUGAUUUUGGCCGGUGAAAAAUGCUGCAGACUUUUGACCUUGAGAACUGUAAAAUAAUAAAUAUAUGUUGCUUUAAGACACUAAAUUUAUGGUAAUCUGUUACAGCAACAAUAAGAAACCAACACAGAUGUCUUUCUUGCUUAUCUUUGUUAUUUCCAGACCAUACUCCUCAACCCUCUUAAAGACCCCUAGCUCCUUUGAGGUAUGUGCCAUCAGGCUAAACCAUCUGCCACUCCUCCUUAUUGCUGUCAUCUGCCAACCCUCUCAUUAUUCCAUUACAUUCAUUAAAAGUAUCUGAUCUCUUCUCACUGUCUUUCCACCAUAUUUGUAUCAUCCUUUAUGCUGACAUCUGCAUCAGGAUACACAUGAUGCAUCUGAUACACCUUCCACUUGGACAUUGCAAUUUCUUAACCUGCUUACAUUCAAAGAUCUUUUCUUCUGCCUCCUCCAUCUCCAAUCUUAGAGUCAUACUAUAAAUCUUUUCAGAAAUAAUGACAGAAGUACUUCCAGAUUCUCAAUUUAAG
rnacentral:lncRNA from 1 species